GAGAAAGCUGACGGUCCUUACCUGCGGCGUACGGACUGCUCUGGUGGUCCCUGAGGGUGCCCAGGCUGCAGGAUCCCGGCGUGAGGGACGGGCAGCCGGACGUGGCCCCAAAAGUGGUCCUUAUCGGGUUAUACUGGAAGCCACUGGCCUGGCUGCAGGAACUGAAGUCAGCAUAGGCUGAAGCCAGGCUCGAGGUGUCCAUCCCAGCCAUACAGGACUCGUAGGCAGAGGAAUUGAGGGUUCUCACAACAAAUUGAAAGAGAAUAAAACAUUCUCUUGCUUCAUAAUCAAAGUACUGCUCACACUUCCAGCAACCUUUGGAAGGGGAAUCCUGGCUAUUGAUGUCCCUGGAAAGAGUGGUAGAAGAAAAGAAAUUGAAGACAUGGAAGAAAGAUGAAAACACUGGCUACUAAAUACCUGUGUGUGGUUACUGAGUGUGGUAUACUUGGACACCAAGCUCCCCCACUCAUCAGAUGUCACAAAGACUCCUUUUACUCUUGGAUAAUUUCAAAUCAAACUGACCUCCCCAGGCCAAGCUGAAGGUAUUGAGAAAAUAUCCAGAUGACACAGAAACUGGAAUGUUCAGAGGCUGAUGAACAAAGGGAGAAUUUUGCUCCUGUUGCUUAUUCCUGGGACACCUCUAGCUGGGAAUACAUAUCCCAGGGCUGUUAGUAGUUUUAACCUUUCUUUGGCCACUUGAUGGUCAAACGAUUCUAGUACAUCCCUGUGCCUAACGGCUCUCAAAAUACUCUGGAAAUACAAGUUCCUGCUCAAGGUCCAACAGCUGUCAGAGCAGAUGGCUGGGGAUUUGUUUACUGUGGUCCUAAGUAUUACCCUUUAGCUCUAAGGCACUGGGAACAAUUUGACAAAUUUGAUUAACUGAGAACAAUAUGAUGCUUGCCUGGAAAGCUCACUCCACACUUUCACAGAGUUCCUUAUGUUCUUUUCACGGUCUGAGGAUACGGGAUGAUAUUAGCUACCACCUCAGUCCAAUGAAACUAUCAGAGAAAACAAAAAAGUCACCCUUGGCUACCCCUUUUGUUUUACAACUGAAUGUUUGUGAUACACAUGUACAGCCAGCUGUUCUAUCAGAGAUGCUCAGAGCAUACCUAGUCCUGCCUUUAAGAAAAAGAAAUGUGACUUCAUGUUCCAUGGCACUCUAUGGCUUAUUUGUCAAUUACAAAGUGUGUCUGCUUUGUGAAACUAAAAAUAAAUAAUUAAUCUGCUGGAAAAUCUUA